rnacentral:rRNA from 1 species
AAUGAACGCUGGCGGCGUGCCUAACACAUGCAAGUCGAACGGACUUACAUUGAAGCCUAGCGAUAUGUAAGUUAGUGGCGGACGGGUGAGUAACGCGUGGGUAACCUGCCUUGUACUGGGGGACAACAGUUGGAAACGACUGCUAAUACCGCAUAAGCGCACAGCUUCGCAUGAAACAGUGUGAAAAACUCCGGUGGUACAAGAUGGACCCGCGUCUGAUUAGCUGGUUGGUGAGGUAACGGCCCACCAAGGCGACGAUCAGUAGCCGGCCUGAGAGGGUGAACGGCCACAUUGGGACUGAGACACGGCCCAAACUCCUACGGGAGGCAGCAGUGGGGAAUAUUGCACAAUGGGGGAAACCCUGAUGCAGCAACGCCGCGUGAGUGAAGAAGUAUUUCGGUAUGUAAAGCUCUAUCAGCAGGAAAGAAAA